UACGUAGGGUGCGAGCGUUGUCCGGAAUUAUUGGGCGUAAAGAGCUCGUAGGCGGCCUGUCGCGUCGGAUGUGAAAGCCCGGGGCUUAACCCCGGGUCUGCAUUCGAUACGGGCAGGCUGGAGUUCGGCAGGGGAGAUCGGAAUUCCUGGUGUAGCGGUGAAAUGCGCAGAUAUCAGGAGGAACACCGGUGGCGAAGGCGGAUCUCUGGGCCGAUACUGACGCUGAGGAGCGAAAGCGAGGGGAG
rnacentral:rRNA from 1 species